CUUGCUUUUCCCAAAUUCCUAUUCCCUCCAAAUUCUAUUUCCCCAUCAAAUCAGAUUCCCGCUCCCCAAAUCCCACUCCCCACGAUUAAUGCCAAAACAUUAUAUUCAGACCUACGCUCCCAAUCUCACUUCUUUUAGUGAACUGAUUCUUUAGGGUUUAGUUUAAUUCUUUCACUUUCUCGGUAUCGCCGGUGAGUAUACCUUACAUUCUUUUAAUUUCUUGUGAAGUGCCAGAAUCAGCAGGCAACUGCUAUUUCACGAACGUUGAAAUUGAUAAGAGGUAACAAAGUUGCAAUGAAACUCUCACGGCCUAUUCAGACUUCAAGCCUUCAUUCUCUGACUCCGAAGCAGCGAACCUUCAGUAUGCUGUCUUGAUAGAUGAGGAGGGGUAUAUAGUCUCAAAGCUUUAGUAGCAAUGUUGUGAACUCAUAUGAGAGUGAUCAAAACUCUGUCAAUUUUAGAGUCACUGGUAUCUUCAUUAUAAUGUUAUUAUUUUAUUAUUCCAAGAUUUUAAUUGUUGAAUUUGUUUUCUACUCCUUAUUCUGUUUGCAAGAUAGAUAUAAAGUUCAAAUGCACUGAUGACGAUGAGUACGAAUUGGAGGAGUGCGUUAUUCGGAUUGAAUUGAGAAACUAAUUUGGAUUAACAAAAUUUGAGAUUUGAUGGAUGUAACAGGGUUCCAGCGGAUGGAAGAUACUAAUGGCUUUUAAUAUUCUCAAGUGUUGAUGUGUGGGUUCACGAUCAAAGGGAGUAAUGCUGUAAUGAGAAAAUUAAUGAGGAAAAGAAAAUAAGCGUUCGUGAGGGAGGAGCAAAGAGUUACUAUACAUUAUGUUGUGACUCUAGGAAAGGUCCCCAAUUUCUGUCUAUGUGGUAGAUAGAAGCUCUGGCAGUUUAAUAAAUAUAUUAAAAUUAUGGCGAAGAAUAUAAGGAGCGAGGGACUUCAAUUAAUGUCUUGUUUCACGAUUAUGGUUAAUAUGACAUAUUGGAGACAAUUUCAGAGAAGAUUUACCAAAAGCUAGAAGAAUAAAAGUAGGGUAAGAUUCCCUUAGACAUAGUCUUCAUUAAAUUUUCAUAAAGGUAGUUAGCAACUACGAUCAAGUUAAAUUGAUAAGAAGUUUAGCUAUCCUGUUAACAAAAAUUCAUGUUUGUUGAGAAAAUGAGGAACAAGGUAAACAUAAUUUUGAGUGUUUGUGCAAAUUUUAAGAAUUAUUCUGUUGUGAACUUUUAUGUGUAAUGGUUCGUAUCUCAAAUUAGUACAAGAUUCAAAACUUGAGUUCCAUUUCUCGCGAAAAAGGACAGGUUGUUGAGUUCUGUUAGUUUUCAGAAUCCCCUAUUAUAGGGUAGUAGGUAAGUUCAAGAAAUUUUUAUUUUUUCUUUAGGUCUUCCUGAAUUCCUCCUUUAUAUUUUCUAGUUAAGUGUAUGAUUUCCUAAAAUGUCAAACCGAUAGUUGAAUGUUUCUGGACAAUCCUUUGAAUUUCUCAUGACAAAUUUUACUUUCAGUAUCUGCACUUUAUUGUAUUUUGGUAGUUUAUGAUGGAACUUGUGAUAUGUAUAUUUAUAUUGAAAAGACCUAGUUGGAAAAUGAGACUUCUCGUUCAAACCCAUUAAGGAGAUAUGGAUAAGUGAAUGAAAUUCUUAGCAGUAGUUAUCAUCCUUAUCUCUCUAUGUCUUUUUUUGGUUAGAGGCUUCUUCACACUUUUCCAGUGUUUAUUCUCAUCUAGAAGGUACUCAUGAUGACUUAAUAAAGUAAUGCACUGUUGAAGCCACGACUAAUGAGCAAGAAGCUCAUUUGAUUGGAAUUUCCUCAACUCAGGUAAUGUCUAAUGCUCUCUCCACUGAUGUUGGCUGCUUUUAAUAUACUACCUUAGCAAAACAUCCUAAAAUACUGUAAUCGUUCCCAACACUGUCGCAUGUGCCUUAACAUUUGCAACUUCGAAAGUUGCGUCUUUUGACCCUGUUAAGCUAAUGGCAACUGAAAGCACUACUCAAAAUCCAUUUUCCUUGCUACAGACUUAUCCCAAUAUUAGCAAAGGCCUAAUGAAAGAGAGAACAUUUGAAAGAUGCCAUGAGCCUUUUGUUAUUCUUGGUAAAUCACAAGUAAUUGCUUCAUGUUUUCCUCAAGAAUCUGUCUUGAUGUAGUUUCUUGGAAUUAAUGGAUCCUUCUUUGGGCAGUGAAGGGGAAAUUGGUUUGUUCAACAGGAGGUUUAGACAAAAUCAAAUGAAUAGAAGUUGAACUGUAUGAAGUGUUUGGAAGGACUUUUGGCCUUUUAGGUAUUUUCUGGAUUUGCCUUUCGCAUAGUGCUGACUCGCGGGACAUAUUCUUGAUUUGCACAAGUUUCUAUUUCUACUCCUUUUUGAUGGAUAUGUUCUAAUCUUGGGUAUGCUUAAACCAGCUUACAGAUUUUGGUUUGCCAAAUAUUGGACUUUUGAACAGUACAAAUGAUCAAUCUGGACCCGGUACAGAGGAUGUAGUGCUUCCUGAUGUUGGUAGUCAACAAGAUCUAGAUCUAUCAGACAAAUCUCAACAGUCUGCUGUUGGUACCCUGACUAUUUGGCUCCGGAAAUUCUUCUUGGAACUGAGCACGGGCAUAUAAUCGUGCUACGAUCAAAUUUAGAGGACUGGAUGCGGAUCAAUUUCAAUGUGAAUGAUUACCAUGAUGAUCUAAAGUCCUAAUAGAGAAGGCCAAUCCAUUGGUGUGAUUGCUGAUGGUGAAGAUGCCAAUGGGAAGCCUCACAAGCUCGGAUUGUAUUCGAUUACUAGCAAUGCCCUUGGUGACUCCAAAACUGUGAUAUCUUCUAGAAUACAAUUAGAUGCAACAGAUGAUGGUUAUGAUAAUCAAGAGCUGUUUUCUCAAACUUCAAUCAAGGUGCUUUGCUAUUUGCGCAUUUAAUAUAAGAAGGAUAAGGUUCUUCAACAACGGGAAAUGAAGUCAACCACAACCAGGAGUUUGAAGAUAGGAAUAGUUUGGAGACAUCUUAUGUUAUUUUAUGGGUUAUGCAUAUAUACGGAGAAAAUGUAUUCUAAUGUAAUACUUUAUGUUGUUUGGCUUUUAGCAAUGAAAUAUUCUUAUAUAAUUCUAUUUCCUAGAAUAAUCUUACUGACUACGAAUUAACA